rnacentral:rRNA from 1 species
UACCAGCACCCCGAGUGGUCGGGACGUUUUAUUGGGCCUAAAGCAUCCGUAGCCGGUUCUACAAGUCUUCCGUUAAAUCCACCUGCUUAACAGAUGGGCUGCGGAAGAUACUAUAGAGCUAGGAGGCGGGGAGAGGCAAGCGGUACUCGAUGGGUAGGGGUAAAAUCCGUUGAUCCAUUGAAGACCACCAGUGGCGAAGGCGGCUUGCCAGAACGCGCUCGACGGUGAGGGAUGAAAGCUGGGGGGAGCAAACAGG